AUUGAACGCUGGCGGAAUGCUUUACACAUGCAAGUCGAACGGCAGCACGGACUUCGGUCUGGUGGCGAGUGGCGAACGGGUGUGUAAUACAUCGGAACGUGCCCAGUCGUGGGGGAUAACGUAGCGAAAGCUACGCUAAUACCGCAUACGAUCUAAGGAUGAAAGCGGGGGAUCGCAAGACCUCGCGCGAUUGGAGCGGCCGAUGGCAGAUUAGGUAGUUGGUAGGGUAAAGGCCUACCAAGCCGACGAUCUGUAGCUGGUCUGAGAGGACGACCAGCCACACUGGGACUGAGACACGGCCCAGACUCCUACGGGAGGCAGCAGUGGGGAAUUUUGGACAAUGGACGCAAGUCUGAUCCAGCCAUUCCGCGUGCAGGAUGAAGGCCCUCGGGUUGUAAACUGCUUUUGUACAGAACGAAAAGGCUCUGGUUAAUACCUGGAGCUCAUGACGGUACUGUAAGAAUAAGCACCGGCUAACUACGUGCCAGCCGCCGCAGCAA
rnacentral:rRNA from 1 species